GACGAACGCUGGCGGCGUGCUUAACACAUGCAAGUCGAACGGAAAGGCCCUGCUUUUGUGGGGUGCUCGAGUGGCGAACGGGUGAGUAACACGUGAGUAACCUGCCCUUGACUUUGGGAUAACUUCAGGAAACUGGGGCUAAUACCGGAUAGGAGCUCCUGCUGCAUGGUGGGGGUUGGAAAGUUUCGGCGGUUGGGGAUGGACUCGCGGCUUAUCAGCUUGUUGGUGGGGUAGUGGCUUACCAAGGCUUUGACGGGUAGCCGGCCUGAGAGGGUGACCGGCCACAUUGGGACUGAGAUACGGCCCAGACUCCUACGGGAGGCAGCAGGGGGGAAUAUUGCACUAUGGGCGGAAGCCUGAUGCAGCAACGCCGCGUGCGGGAUGACGGCCUUCGGGUUGUAAACCGCUUUCGCCUGUGACGAAGCGUGAGUGACGGUAAUGGGUAAAGAAGCACCGGCUAACUACGUG
rnacentral:rRNA from 1 species